UCACUGUAAGACAGGCCACUGUCUGGUUCAAAACCAAACCAGUUCAAUCCGAAAUCAAAACCGGUUAAAUCUAACCGAAAUUGGAUCUAAACUUAACAGUCUAAUUUUGGGAUGAAAGCGUAAGAAGAAAAAAUUUUUUAUUAUUAGAUUUGGUCAAAAUCGAAGUGAAUCAAAAUUAAAACCAAUAUCGAUAUCAUAACCAGAUUAAAACAGAAACUAAGAGGAUCAUUUGGUCUGGUUUCAGUCCCCUUGGCUUUCAGGCCAGCCCCCAAGCCGGCCCUUGUCACACUUAGAGAUUCCAAGCAUGAGCUGUUCCCUUGGGGGCGGAGUUUUAUCACCUUAUAGUUCUACGCAUUUUCUUGCUUUAUUCUAACACUUUCGAUUCCUUUUAACAAAGACACAAAUGACAUGGCAUAAAAUUGAUAGGAGUAUGAUUAAGAUGUACUCAAUGAGCUACUAUUCUGAUUUUGGUUUCCUUUGCUGGCUUUUGUUCAUGAAAUGUUGAAUAUCUGGAGGCUUCAAAACUAUGACAGCAGGCCAAAUCUGUAAUUAAUUUCCACUCUAUAUCAGAUAAGUUUGUGCAGGAUGAAGAAGAAUGGUGGUCAAUUUGAAGGUGGCCUGAUUGUUUGCAUUGCAGACUUACUCUAGUGAGAAGGGUUUUCUUGCAUUCAUACUUGAUGGGAAAAUACAACUGUUACAUCCUUUUUAGCUUGUGCUAUUUUUUUUUUUUUUGGAUUUUAAGUGCCCGGUUUCCAUGCUCAGAUAAAGCCCUCCAAACAAUAGGACUGGCUUUGAAAUUAUUUCUUCCAUCUAUGCUUGUGGGAGUUUUACAGCGGUUCAACUAUAAUUGGAUAUUUGUUUUUUGGCAUCCGCACUAGUGUUGGCUGGACAGAGUCAUCUUUCUCCAUGGGUCUCCAUCUGUUAUAAACAUCAUGAUAUCAGAAUUAAAGACUUAACUUCAGGGAGGAAGAGGGGUUGGAUGAAGUAUAUCCUGCUUUUGCAGAAAAUUUUUUUAUGUGUAAUAUGCAUGCCCUUUUUCGUAAUUGUCAUUCAUUCAAUGUGUUUCUUUCAUCUUACUUGUAUCUGGUGAUCAGGUGAUGGAUGAAGACACAGAUUUCCAGUUUGGCCAGGUUGAUUCCAGGGCACAUACGAGGUGGGAGGAAAGAAAAUGGGAUGCUGAUGAUGAAAUGAGAGGUAAUUACAUCAAAUCUGGAGGGAUUGAACCUAUAGGGAUCAGGAAAGACUUCUGGAUCAUGGUGAAUAGAGACGACAUCCAAGUUGAUUGACCAGCCUUUCUUGAUUUUACAUCCUGCAAUAUUGAGGUAGAGCAAAUGCCACUGUUUAUAUUUUGUAAGAAAUAUAUCAUCUUUCACUGUGUGCUUUUUGGAUUCAUACCAUCAAUUUCAAAGUCCUGGGCAGCUUUUCUUGAAAACCAAGGUAAUAUUGUAGCUCUUCGAAGAGUCUCACUGAUUACCUGAACUUCAUGGAAGGGCCUAUGAUUGAUACAUGGGAAGAUUUUGAUAGAUAAUGUAAUUAUAAUAAAUUUGCAAUUUGCUUCUCACUUUGUUUGUGUAAGGCAUGUUAUUAACUUCAGACCACGUAAGAUUUGCUCCCUCUGUUCUUUUUGAUUGGAUUUGUCUAUGCUCCUCCUGCAAGUCAAAAUCAAUUCCAAUUAGAGGUGAUAAGCUCAAACUAUUUUUUUUUUUAUCACUUGAUGUUUGAGGUUAAAAUUACUCGAAGUUGUUCAAGAACUCCAGGAUUUUCAUCAAGAAAUUUGAUGAGCCAGUGAUUCUAAGAAAUCUUGUUGAAAGCUUUUGCCAGUUCUCCUCAUUGCAAUGAUUGAAUCAAGCAUUGCAUACAUCCUAUCCCUAGCCUGAAGAGGUGGAAUAUUGCAUCAGAAGAUUUUGAAAUAUCAAGCAGCAUUGUCUAGAAAGAAAACAAGGUAUGCCUUUGAUUUUGUCUUCCAUGGCCGAGAUUAGUUGCUUCAUAUUCAUGCUAGUAAAAAUAAAUGAGGUGCAUUGAAGUGAUACCUUAAUACCAUUAUGAAAAGCUGUUCCGGGGAUCUUGAAUGGCAGGGAUGCGAAUGAGGAAGAAAUGAUUUUGAAAUUCGACCGAAACUUUUCCUGCUCUUCUCCAGCGGGUUCUAGGCUCAUUAUCAUAUUGCCAAUUACUUUGAGAGUGAACUGUAAAAAGUUCGAGCUUCAGUUACAUCAUUGUAAACAAUGCAAACGGAAAAUGUUCUCUUUUUCUUUUGUUAUUAAGACUUAACUGUAGAGGCCUCUUCAAGGACAAAUACUUUUCUUGCAGGCCAAUGAUCUAAUGUUUCAAUCGCCAGAGUGUUGAUGAAAUGAAAAUAUUUUUUUAGCCCAUCAACUGAUAGGGGUUCUGCAAUCAGUCGCCGUAGCCUUUUGUGUGCUUCUCCGGUGGUUUGGAGCAAGCUUGUAGGGCCUAGUACUUGUUGCCCUGUAUAGAAAAGAUUCAAGCUCACCAUCCCAUCUUUUCCUGUUAACAAGAUUUUACUUGCUUCUCUUCCUGUCAUGAACACAGUGAAUCUCCCCAGAACAAAACUCUUGAAAACCUUGCCAUAUCUGAGUAAAUUCCAUGAGUACAGAGAGAAAUAGAAGAAAAUAAUCAGAUAGUUUUUGUAGCAAAGUUGAUACAGAUAGAUUUUGAAUAUGAUCAAUUACCUUUCCUGCCUCUUUUUCAUGAAGCUGUAUAUACCAGAUGGACUAGAAAAUUCAGAAAUGAAUGAGAAGCUUUCACCAACAAUAGGCCAGCCCAAGGUUCCUGGGAUUUCCUCCACUGCUUUUGGUGAAAUCCAUAAAUGCAGCAAGAAGAAAGCUGAAAACAGAAACGUGCUUACAAGAACAAAGAUCACUAAUAUGGGCUCCAUUGCUCUACCUGAUAACUAGGCAGCACCAAAUGUUGAGGUAACAAUAAUGAUAUGUUCAAUAUAUAUAGAGUGAUCAGCAAUGAAUUCUCCUGUAUAUUCUUUGUUGUCUUUUUGUCUCUGCUAUCACUAGUAAUCUUGGCUGCACAUGUGAUAUUUUGUAAUUUAUGAAGAAAUCCAACAAUAUGUUCGAUUUUCUCCAUGAUGCUAGCCUGCACCACCUUGUAGUUAUUAACGGCAUCUAUGUGAUGAAUAGGGAGUCUUCUUAA